GUUCCUGUAGCACAAUGGAUAGUGCGAUGGACUUCUAGUCGUGGGUUCGAAUCCCACAUGGAAUG